GAAAUCGAGUUGUAAUUAGUAGGCAAUAGGCAUUAUAGCCUAGCGGCUAGCGAUAUUACUACUUAGUAGUUAGUACUUAUCAUUGAUUAUAGAAUAGACUAUAAUCAAUGAUACAACGUAAAUCGACAUAUCGUAAUUAUCGUAUCAUCGUGGACAGAGGUUAACUACCAUUUCUGCAAGCCGUUGUCACACAUUUCUCCAGCUACAUUUCUUUGCGUUUUGUGUAAUUUACUACGUGCUAAAGUUCGUCCGCACACAACGGCAGUACCUAUUCAAUCGUCUUAUUCGAAGCUAUAAAACAAUAUAUUAUAACAUCGAGUUCGACCAUCACCGCGAUAUGAUAUUAUACAUUUUGAUUUGUGUGUUUCAAGUUUCUUUCGGUUCGUCUGGCACGCGCAGCGAAUAUUUAUACUUCGCAAUGUAUGCGAGUGUGUUGCCAACGAGUAAAGGAAAUGAAUAUUAUAAUGAAUAUGAUGAUCAAAAUUCAAGGCCUAGCACUAGUCGAGGAGGUGGUGGGUAUUCAGAUCAUUAUGGUUGUACUAAAAAGGUGACAUUCAAAGCAAAUAACUGCAGAGGUAAUCAUUUUCGUAAAAGUUGGGAUAAUAAAACUGAACUGGUUCGUGAUCAUUUGGAUAGUGAAUUUUUUAAUCGAUGUAGAUCACCUAAAAAUAAUACUGGCCGACGGUUUUUCCUAAUAGAAAUCAUAAUCGCAAUGGUCAUGGUAACAUGAUAACUUCAGAAACUCAUGGUCUUUAAAAGAAAGUAGUACUGGAUGGUACUCAGUAUAUUAUGUACCCAAUGUUGAAGAUAGUGAUGAAGUCUUACAAAUAAUCCAAAAUUAUAUCGCACCUGUUGAAUUUUAUCCAUAUAAUGUAUGCUAUUU